CAGUCGCCGCGGUAAUACAGAGGGUGCAAGCGUUAAUCGGAAUUACUGGGCGUAAAGCGCGCGUAGGUGGUUUGUUAAGUUGGAUGUGAAAGCCCCGGGCUCAACCUGGGAACUGCAUCCAAAACUGGCAAGCUAGAGUACGGUAGAGGGUGGUGGAAUUUCCUGUGUAGCGGUGAAAUGCGUAGAUAUAGGAAGGAACACCAGUGGCGAAGGCGACCACCUGGACUGAUACUGACACUGAGGUGCGAAAGCGUGGGGAGCAAACAGGAUUAGAUACCCCUGUAGUCCUGUCUCUUAUACA
rnacentral:rRNA from 1 species